GUACAGAGAGAUUAUUGAUGAAAACCUGCUCCAGAGCACUCAGGACCUCAUACUGGGGCAAAGGUUCACCUUCCAACAGAACAAUGACCUUAAGCACACAGCCAAGACAAUGCAGGAGUGGCUUCAUGACAAGUCUCUGAAUGUCCUUGAGUGGCCCAGACAGAGCCCGGACUUGAACACAAUCGAACAUCUCUGGAGAGACCUGAAAAUAGCUGUGCAGUGACGCUCCCCAUACAACCUGACAGAGCUUGAGAGGAUCUGCAGAGAAGAAUGGGAGAGACUCCCCAAAUACAGGUGUGCCAAGCUUGCAGCAUCAUACCCAAGAAGACUAGAUGCUGUAAUCGCUGCUAAAAGGUGCUUCAACAAAGUACUGAGUAAAGGGUCUGAAUACUAAUGGAAAUGUGAUAUUUCCAUUUUUUAUUUGUAAUACAUUUGCAAAAAUUUCUAAAAUCCAGUUUUUGCUUUGUCAUUAUGGGGUAUUGUGUGGAGAUUGAUGAGGUUAAAAAAAAAACUAUUUCAGCAAUUUUAGAAUAACAAAAUGUGGGAAAAGUCAAGGGGUCUGAAUACUUUCCGAAGGCACCGUAUAUGUAGGUCAUUGUAUGUGUAUAAUGUGCUUUUAAUGUCGUACACCACUUGUGAACAAACUUACAAUCCCCUUGUAUGUGGUCGUUUUCUCUAGGUACAGACAGUGUGGAGUCGGACCGGUCUGGGAUCAUGCUGCCAUUCCACAGUACACCACUAGGUGGCAGGAGAGGAAGCAGCAAGCCCUACUCCUGCUCAGAUGGACCAGUGAAACCCCAGAGCAGAAAACCCUUGAAUACAGCAUCAGAGGAGAACCGUUCUCUGGAGACCUCCAAUCUCACCCAUCCCAGUCCUCCAGCACUCUGGCACUCAUACAAGAACUUCAGCUACAGAUCUCCACCACCACCAGGUGACAUGGAGAAUGUCUACUCUAAGGGCAGGUAUCCUCUCUCCUCUCAGCCUCUACAGAAGCCUCUGUUGCAAGUCAACUAUGGCUCCUCCUGCAGUUUACCUGCAGGUUUCAAAGUGCGAGAGCAGCAGUCUGUCUCCCACCACCGGAGGCGCUCUACCCAGUCAGACUCAGCACUGCUGCCCAGCAACGUGUACUUUCAGCAGACCUUUCCCCCAGCUCUCAGCCCCCCCAGGACUGGGGUCAUAGCCAGCAGGCACAAAGCCAGCAGGGAUGAGGACAUCAACAGGACAUUGGACAGGGCUAUCGAGGCAGCCCGCAUUAUGAAGAGGACCACUGAUAGGAUGGCCAAGAGCCUGUCAGCUGACCUUGCCAAGGUUGAGCUGUACAGGAAGUUACACGGCCUUCACCCAUUGACAGGGAGGAACAAUACUGGCUCAUAACACUCUAAUUGACACACUGGAGAUACUGCUGCUACUAUAGGGCUGGUCCAGGAUUAGCUAACCAGUGAAUUCAGCAGGGAUUAUUUUGUAUACAGGUGAAGUCGGGAAGUUGACAUACACCUUAGCCAAAUACAUUUAAACUCAGUUUUUCACAAUUCCUGACAUUUAGUCCUAGUAAAAAAUUCCCUGUUUUAGGUCAGUUAGGAUCACCACUUUAUUUUAAGAAUGUGAAAUGUCAGAAUAAUAGUAGAGAGAAUUAUUUAUUUCAGCUUUUAUUUAUUUCAUCACAUUCCUAGUGGGUCAGAAGUUUACAUACACUCAAUUAGUAUUUGAUAGGAUUGCCUUUAAAUUGUUUAACUUGGGUCAAACGUUGUGGGUAGCCUUCCACAAGCUUCCCACUAUAAGGGUGAAUAGGGUAGGGUGAAUUUUGGCCCAUUCCUCCUGACAGAGCUGGUGUAACUGAGUCAGGUUUGAAGGCCUCCUUGCUCACACAUGCUUUUUCAGUUCUGCCCACACAUUUUCUAUAGGAUUGAGGUCAGGGCUUUGUGAUGGUCACUCCAAUACCUUGACAAUGGUGUCCUUAAGCCAUUUUGCCACAACUUUGGAAGUAUGCUUGGGGUCAUUGUCCAUUUGGAAGACCCAUUUGCGACCAAGCUUAACUUCCUGACUGAUGUCUUGAGAUGUUGCUUCAAUUUAUCCACAUAAUUUUCCUGCCUCAUGAUGCCAUCUAUUUUGUGAAGUGCACCAGUCCCUCCUGCAGCAAAUUACCCCCACAACAUGAUGCUGCCACCCCCGUGCUUCACGGUUGGGAUGGUGUUCUUCGGUUUGCAAGCCUCCCCCUUUUUCCUCCAAACAUAAUGAUGGUCAUUAUGGCCAAACAGUUCUAUUUUUGUUUCAUUGGACCAGAGGACAUUUCUCCCCAAAAUAUGAUCUUUGUGCAGUUUCAAAACAAAGUCUGGCUUUUUAUGGUGGUUUUGGAGCAGUGGCCUCUUCCUUGCUGAGCAGCCUUUCAGAUGAUGUCGAUAUAGGACUCGUUUUAUUGUGGAUAUAGAUACUUUGUACCUGUUUCCUCCAGCACCUUCACAAGGUCCUUUGCUGUUGUUCUGGGAUUGGUUUUCAUUUUUUACACCAAAGUACGUUCAUCUCUAGGAGACAGAACGCGUCUCCUUCCUGAGCAGUAUGAUGGCUGCGUGGUCCCAUGGUGUUUAUACUUGCGUACUAUUGUUUGUACAGAUGAACGUGGUACUUUCAUUUGGAAAUUGCUCCCAAAGAUGAACCAGACUUGUGGUCUACAAUUAUUUUUCUGAAGUCUUGACUGAUUUCUUUUGAUUUUCCCAUGAUGUCAAGCAGAGGCACUGAGUUUGAAGGUAGGCCUUGAAAUACAUCCACGGGUACACCUCCAAUUGACUCAAAUAAUGUCAAUUAUCCUAUCAGAAGCUUCUAAAGCCAUGACAUCAUUUUCUGGAAUUUUCCAAGCUGUUUAAAGGCACAGUCAACUUAGUGUAUGUAAACUUCUGACCCACUGGAAUUGUGAUACAGUGAAUUAUAGAAAAAAUCUGUAAACAAUUGUUGAAAAACUUACUUGUGUCAUGCACAAAGUAGAUGUCCUAACCAACUUGCCAAAACUAUAGAUUGAUAUCAAGAAAUUAGUGGAGUGGUUGAUGACCAAGUUUUAAUGACUCCAACCUAAGUGUGUGUAAACUUCCCACUUCAACUGUAGAUCAUCCUCUUCCCUACCAGUUUCCCCUGGCUGCUGCUGUUCUCAUCGGUCCUCCUCUUGGCUCAUCUGAAAGGUAACAAGAUAGAGGUGCAACUUGUCACUGGUUAGUUUAAGGGAAACUGCAGUUCCUUUGGACUUGUUUUAGGUUUGGGUCAUUAAGAAAUGCUAGUGGCCAUGACUGAACUCAAACGUGAGUUGGUUUUCGGGUGUGGUUUGAUGUGGUUGAUUUGAUUGUUAGCACCACCUGGCACGCUACAGAAUGUUGUUUCAUGUCUCCUUAUAUUCAUAUAGCCUAGGGGCUAUGUAGCUUACAGAACAUUAUAUAACAGAACAUUAUAUAACUUAAGGGCCUAUGCAUUUUCAAUGUUUUGAUUACAGAACAUUAUAUAACUUAAGUCCUAUGUAUUUUCAAUGUUUUGUUCACCCACAAUCUAACCACAAAGCUUGUCAACCUUUCCCCUGUCUUUCUGGCUGACGCCUUCCCUUCUAAUUUCAAGUUAAACUUAGUUUAUUUUUCAUAUAUACAUGGAGUGGACACAGUGAAAUGAAAUGCUUGCUUGCAGGUUAACCUCUAGAAC
rnacentral:lncRNA from 13 species